rnacentral:rRNA from 1 species
CCCAGUUCGGAUUGUAGUCUGCAACCCGACUACAUGAAGCUGGAAUCGCUAGUAAUCGCGAAUCAGAAUGUCGCGGUGAAUACGUUCCCGGGUCUUGUACACACCGCCCGUCACACCAUGGGAGUCGGAAAUGCCCGAAGUCUGUGACCCAACCUUAGGGAGGGAGCAGCCGAAGGCAGGUCGGAUGACUGGGGUGAAGUCGUAACAAGGUAUC